GAACAAAUGAACCAAUCGGAAACCAAAAACACGAUGAACAUACCUGUUGGAACCCAACCCAAUUGGAAUUCAAUGGGAAACCAAAAACACGAACAAAUGAAGAAACCCAUCGGAACAAAUGAAGAAACCUAUCGAUAGCCAAUCGGAACUCAAAAACUCGAUGAACAAACUUAUCGGAACCCAAACCAAUCGGAACCCAACCUAACAGGAUGAACAAACCUAUUGGAACCCAACCCAACACAUUCUAUGAACAAACUUAUCCUAACCCAAAUCCCGACGACGUCGACGAGACGAAAGAAGAACAAGGAAAUACGACGGCACACCCUAUACCAAAAACACGAUUGACAGACAAUCCAAUCGAGAAUCCAAAAACACGAUGAACAUAACUAAUCCGAACACAAUCGAGAACCCAAAACCACGGUGAACGACCCUAUUGAAACACGACACAGUCGGAACCCAAUCAAGAACCAAAAAACACGAUGAACAAUCUGUCGGAACGCACCUUGUCAGAAGCCAAUCGGAACCCAAAAAAAUCUAUAAACAAACCUAUCCGAACCCAAAACCCGCCGACGUCGAUGAAAAGAAUAUUUAUGAAAAGCAUAUGAAUAGCCUCUAUACCUAUAUACGACGGCACACCCUAUACCAAAAAUACGAUUGACAGGCAAUCCAAUCGAGAACCCAAAAAUACGAUGAACAUAACUAAUCCGAACACAAUCGAGAACCCAAAACCACGAUGAACGACCCUAUUGAAACACGACACAGUCGGAACCCAAUCAAGAACCAAAAAACACGAUGAACAAUCUAUCGGAACGCACCUUGUCGGAAGCUAAUUGGAACCCAAAAAAAUCUAUGAACAAACCUAUUCGAACCCAAAACCCGCCGAUGUCAUUCAGAAAAUAUUUAUGAAUAGCCUCUAUACUUAUGAAUAGUCUCUAUAGCUGUAACCUAUAGACUCUAUAUAGCUAUAACCUAUGAAUUAUACAAAACGUAUAGUAUUUUACACCACUAAUGACGCUACUUAAUUAAAAGUGAGAAAAUUAUCAUCUCAAGCGAAGUUCUCACGGUCCUCUCACCUGAUAUGAAUUGUUCAAAUAUAAGGGAAAAUUGUAAAAACGGUGUAUGUUGUAAAUG
rnacentral:lncRNA from 1 species